rnacentral:rRNA from 1 species
UUGAACGCUGGCGGAAUGCUUUACACAUGCAAGUCGAGCGGCAGCGCGGGGGCAACCCUGGCGGCGAGCGGCGAACGGGUGAGUAACAUAUCGGAACGUACCCUAUCGUGGGGGAUAACACAUCGAAAGAUGUGCUAAUACCGCAUACGACCUGAGGGUGAAAGCAGGGGAUCGCAAGACCUUGCGCGACAGGAGCGGCCGAUAUCGGAUUAGCUAGUUGGUGAGGUAAAGGCUCACCAAGGCGACGAUCCGUAGCUGGUCUGAGAGGAUGAUCCGCCACACUGGGACUGAGACACGGCCCAGACUCCUACGGGAGGCAGCAGUGGGGAAUUUUGGACAAUGGGCGAAAGCCUGAUCCAGCCAUGCCGCGUGCGGGAAGAAGGCCUUCGGGUUGUAAACCGCUUUCAGCCGGAAAGAAAUCGCCACUUCUAAUACGAGUGGUGGAUGACGGUACCGGAAGAAGAAGCACCGGCUAACUACGU